CAAUAGCGUAUAUUAAAGUUGUUGCGGUUAAAAGCUCGUAGUUGGAUUUCUGUUGACAGCGGCCGGUCCGCACUAUGUGCGUGUAUCUGGUACGGUGUCGGCAUCCUCUUGGGAUCGUUUCUGUGCUUGAUUGCAUGGGGCGGAAUUGCAAGACUUUUACUUUGAUGGAAAGAUUAGAGUGUUCACGGCAAGCUAUCGCUUUGAAUACAUUAGCAUGGAAUAAUAAUAUAGGGCGUAAGUUCUAUUUUGUUGGUUUCUAGGACGUACGCAAUGAUUAAUAGGGAUAAUUGGGGCGAUUCGUAUUAACGCGUCAGAGGUGGAAUUCUUAGAUUGCGUUACGACGAACUACUGCGAAAGCAUUUGCCAAGGAUGUUUUCAUUGAUCAAGAACGAAAGUAUGGGGAUCGAAGAUGAUCAGAU
rnacentral:rRNA from 1 species